AUUGAACGCUGGCGGCAGGCCUAACACAUGCAAGUCGAACGGCAGCACAGAAGAGCUUGCUCUUUGGGUGGCGAGUGGCGGACGGGUGAGUAAUGUCUGGGAAACUGCCCGAUGGAGGGGGAUAACUACUGGAAACGGUAGCUAAUACCGCAUAACGUCGCGAGACCAAAGUGGGGGACCUUCGGGCCUCACACCAUCGGAUGUGCCCAGAUGGGAUUAGCUAGUAGGUGGGGUAAUGGCUCACCUAGGCGACGAUCCCUAGCUGGUCUGAGAGGAUGACCAGCCACACUGGAACUGAGAAACGGUCCAGACUCCUACGGGAGGCAGCAGUGGGGAAUAUUGCACAAUGGGCGCAAGCCUGAUGCAGCCAUGCCGCGUGUAUGAAGAAGGCCUUCGGGUUGUAAAGUACUUUCAGCGGGGAGGAAGGCGGUGAGGUUAAUAACCUUGCCGAUUGACGUUACCCGCAGAAGAAGCACCGGCUAACUCCGUGCCAGCCGCCGCAGUAA
rnacentral:rRNA from 1 species